rnacentral:rRNA from 1 species
UACGUAGGGACCAAGCGUUGUUCGGAUUUACUGGGCGUAAAGGGCGCGUAGGCGGCGUGGUAAGUCACUUGUGAAAUCUCUGAGCUUAACUCAGAACGGUCAAGUGAUACUGCUGUGCUAGAGUGCGGAAGGGGCAAUCGGAAUUCUUGGUGUAGCGGUGAAAUGCGUAGAUAUCAAGAGGAACACCUGAGGUGAAGACGGGUUGCUGGGCCGACACUGACGCUGAUAGCGCGAAAGCCAGGGGAGCAAACGGG